GGGGUUAAAAUUAAUAAAAUUGGGUUAAUAAAAGAAAUUUUAAUGUUAAAAAUAUUGUAAUGGGGGUUAAAGUAUUUUUAAUAGAAAAAAUUUGAAAUUUUAUAGUUUAAUAGUAUUGUAAAAGAAGUUUGAAAUAAUUUGAAAAUAAAUUUUUAUAAAAGUAAAUUUAUUUUAUUGUAUCUUGUGUAUCAGAGUUUAUUAAAUUAUAUUUUAAUUAAUAAAUUUCUCGAAUUUAAAAGAGUUAAUUAAUUAUAAAAUUUAUUGUUUUAUAAAUAUUUUAAAUAAUUAGUUUGAAAUGAAAUGUUAAUCGUUUUUAAAUAUAUCUAGUUUUUUUAGAAAAAAAUUUAAUUUUUAAUUAAAUUUAUAAAUUAAUUAAUUAAUUAAUUAAUUUAUAAAUUUAAUUUAAUAUUUUAGGGGAUAAGCUUUAAAUUAAAUUUUUAUAAUUAAUUUAAUUUAAUUUUAAAAAUUUUAUAAUUUAUAUUGUUAAUAAAAUUUAAUUUAUUAUAAAUAAUUUUAAAUUAAAUUAAAAUUUAAAUUUUAAUUUAAUUUUUUAUGAAAAAAUAAUUUUUAAUUAAAUAUAUUUAGAUAUAAUGAUAAAAUUAGUAUAUAAUUUAAAUAUUUAAAUUUUUAUUUUAAAAUAAUUAUUUAAAAGGAAUUCGACAAAUGUAUAUAUUCACCUGUUUAUCAAAAACAUGUCUUUUUGAAAAUAAUUUAAAGUCUAAUCUGCCCACUGAUUUAAUUGAAGGGCUGCAGUAUAUUGACUGUACAAAGGUAGCAUAAUCAAUAGUCUCUUAAUUGGUGACUUGUAUGAAAGAUUGGAUGAAAUAUAAAUUGUCUCUUAAAUAUUAGAUUGAAUUUAAUUUUUUAAUUAAAAAGUUAAAAUGAUUUAAAAAGACGAGAAGACCCUAUAGAGUUUUAUAUUUUUAUAAUUGAAAAUUAUAAAUUAAUUUAAAAAUUUAAAUUUAUAUAAAUAUUUUAUUGGGGUGAUAGAAAAAUUUAUUUAACUUUUUUAAAAAAUAAACAUAAAUAAGUGAAUUGAUGAUCCAAUUUAUAUUGAUUAUUAGAAAAAAUUACCUUAGGGAUAACAGCGUAAUUUUUUUUUUUAGUUCAAAUAAGAAAAAGAGUUUGCGACCUCGAUGUUGGAUUAAGAUAAAAUUUAAGUGCAAAAGUUUAAAAUUUUUGAUCUGUUCGAUCAUUAAAAUCUUACAUGAUCUGAGUUCAAACCGGCGUAAGCCAGGUUGGUUUCUAUCUUUUAAAAAAUUUAAUAUUUUAGUACGAAAGGAUUAAAUAUUAUAAUUAAAUUAAAUUUAUCUGAUUAUUAUUAAGUUAUAAUUUAUAAUUAUA
rnacentral:rRNA from 1 species